GUGAACAAUUAAGGGCGCGCGGUGGAUGCCUAGGCUCUCGGAGGCGAUGAAGGACGCGAUAAGCCGCGAUAGGCCACGGCGAGGUGCAAGUAACCCUUGACCCGUGGAUUUCCGAAUGGGGCAACCCGGCUGGAUAGAUUCCAGUCAUCCUAAAUGGAGGCGAACGCGGGGAACUGAAACAUCUCAUUACCCGCAGGAGAAGAAAACAACAGUGAUUCCCCCAGUAGUGGCGAGCGAACGGGGAAUAGCCCAAACCGUUGCCGUUUCGGCGACAACGGGGUCAUGGGACCACGACACUCGAUAAACGUUCAAGCGCAAUUACCUGGAAAGGUAAGCCGUGGAGGGUGAUAGCCCCGUGCGCGUAAAUUGUUAUCAAGAUAGCGGUAUCCCGAGUAGGGCGGGACACGAGAAAUCCUGCCUGAAUUCACCAGGACCGCCUGGUAAGGCUAAAUACUCCCGAGAGACCGAUAGUGAACCAGUACCGCGAGGGAAAGGUGAAAAGUACCCCGAGCAGGGGGGUGAAAUAGACCCUGAACCCGCGCGCCUACAAGCGGUCGGAGCUGCCUUGUGCAGUGACGGCGUGCCUUUUGCAUAAUGAGCCUACGAGUUAGUCGUCACCAGCGAGGUUAAGGGCUUCAGGCCCGUAAGCCGAAGUGAAAGCGAGCCUUAACAGGGCGUUAAGUUGGUGGCGCUAGACGCGAAACCUUGUGAUCUACCCACGAGCAGGUUGAAGUCGCGGUAACACGUGAUGGAGGACCGAACCGGUAAACGUUGAAAAGUUUUCGGAUGACCUGUGGGUAGGGGUGAAAGGCCAAUCAAACUGGGAAAUAGCUCGUACUCUCCGAAAUGCAUUUAGGUGCAGCCUCUGUUGUUUUGUUCUAGAGGUAGAGCUACUGAUUGGAUGCGAGGGCUUCACCGCCUAUCAAAUCCGGCCAAACUCCGAAUGCUAGAACAUGAAGACAGGGAGUGAGCCAGCGGGUGCUAAGGUCCGUUGACGAAAGAGGGAGAACUCAGACCAUCAGCUAAGGUCCCCAAUUAUAUGCUAAGUUGGAAUUAAAACGGGGUGGGACUGCUUAGACAGCUAGGAUGUUGGCUUGGAAGCAGCCAUUCAUUUAAAGAGUGCGUAACAGCUCACUAGUCGAGCGGUCCUGCAUGGAUAAUACGCGGGCAUAAGCAUAUAACCGAAGCUAUGGGAUUGUAGAUGAUACAAUCGGUAGGAGAGCAUUCCAUUCAGCAUAGAAGCAGUAUCGUGAGGUAUUGUGGAGCGGAUGGAAAAGCAAAUGUAGGCAUAAGUAACGAUAAUGCGGGUGAGAACCCCGCACGCCGAAAGAUCAAGGAUUCCCCGGCAAUGUCAAUCAUCCGGGGGUAAGUCGGAUCCUAAGGGUAAGCCGAGUGGCGAUCCCGAUGGCAAACAGGUUAAUAUUCCUGUACUGAUCAUAACUGCGAUGCAGCGACGCAGAGGUGACACUGCUGCGUACUGACGGAAUAGUACGUUGAAACCCGUAUUCUUUGAUACCGGUAGUGAAGCACGCCGGUAGAGAUGAAAGGUGAUAGUACCGCAAUGCUUCGGUUGCGCGGAUAAUGCAGGUAAGCUGACUGCCAAGAAAACCUGCUAAGCUUCAGGUAAUGAUCAUCCGUACUGUAAACGGACACACGUGAUCAGGUAGAAAAUACUAAGGCGCUCGAGAGAUUCAUGGUUAAGGAACUAGGCAAAAUGGUCCUGUAACUUCGGGAUAAAGGACGCUCUUGUGAAAGAGCCGCAGAUAAUAGGCCCAGGCGACUGUUUACCAAAAACACAUGGCUAUGCUAAUUCGCAAGAAGAUGUAUAUGGCCUGACACCUGCCCGGUGCCGGAAGGUUAAGAGGAGAGCUCAGAGGUAACUCGAAGGUUUGAAUUGAAGCCCCGGUAAACGGCGGCCGUAACUAUAACGGUCCUAAGGUAGCGAAAUUCCUUGUCGGGU
rnacentral:rRNA from 1 species